rnacentral:rRNA from 1 species
AGGAUGAACGCUGGCGGCGUGCCUAACACAUGCAAGUCGAACGUCCUGUCUCGCAAGAGGCAGGGAGUGGCGGACGGGUGAGUACCACGUGGGUCAUCUACCGUGAGGUGAGGAAUACCGGCGAGAAAUCGCCGACAAGACCGCAUAGCCUCGGUGCAAGUCGAGGAAAGCUCUCUCGAGAGAGGGAGCGCCACACGAGGAGCCUGCGCCCGAUUAGCUAGCUGGUGGAGUAAUGGUUCACCAGGGCGACGAUCGGUAGCUGGUCUGAGAGGACGAUCAGCCACACUGGGAUUGAGAACGGCCCAGACUCCUACGGGGGCAGCAGUGAGGAAUUUUCGCAAUGGGGCAACCCUGAACGAGCAACGCCGCGUGCAGGAAGAAGGUUUUCGGAUCGUAAACUGACUUUUCUCGGGAAGAGAAACGGACGGUACCCGAGGAAUCAGCCCCGGCUAACUACGUGCCAGCAGCCGCGGU